GAGAAGUUAGUUUUAAAUAAUAAAACAUUAACUUGUCAAGUUAAAGAUGUUAUAAUAACACUUCUCC
rnacentral:tRNA from 1 species